GAUGAACGCUGGCGGCGUGCCUAAUACAUGCAAGUCGAGCGAACAGACGAGGAGCUUGCUCCUCUGACGUUAGCGGCGGACGGGUGAGUAACACGUGGAUAACCUACCUAUAAGACUGGGAUAACUUCGGGAAACCGGAGCUAAUACCGGAUAAUAUAUUGAACCGCAUGGUUCAAUAGUGAAAGACGGUUUUGCUGUCACUUAUAGAUGGAUCCGCGCCGCAUUAGCUAGUGGGUAAGGUAACGGCUUACCCAGGCAACGAUGCGUAGACGACCUGAGAGAGUGAUCGGCCACAUGGGAGCGGAGACACGGUCCAGACUCCUACGGGAGGCAGCAGUAGCGAAUCUUCCGCAAUGGGCGAAAGCUUGACGGAGCAAGGCCGCGUGAGUGAUGAAGGUCUUCGGAUCGUAAAACUCGGUUAUUAGGGAAGAACAAAUGUGUAAGUAACUAUGCACGUCUUGACGGUACCUAAUCAGAAAGCCACGGCUAACUACGUG
rnacentral:rRNA from 1 species